rnacentral:lncRNA from 1 species
AUACCCUUCAAUAUGAAGAAGUGAAAAUGAAACCAUAAGUCCAUGGACACAUGGGAGACAGACGAAUUUCUGUGACCUAGGACUGAACCCACAAUACCGCUGAACUAUGUAUGUGUGUCACAGGAGCACUCAGAUCUGGAACAGAUGGAUCAGAGACACUGGGUUUCUCUUGCUACUGUAUAGCUGCCAAAGAGUGGCCUCUUUUUAUCCUGACUAGUCAUCCUUGAAUUUGGAGUUGUCCAUGAAGUUCUUCUACUGUCCAGAAAGAGGGCGCACACUUCCUUAGUUCCCAUCAGCGUGGUGGGAAAGAUUCCUACAGAGGCUGAAGAAAUAACAUUCUGGUGCUUUUUAAUGCUUAUCAAUGCAGAUCUUUCACCUGGGGAGCAAUCUGUUGUUCCCACUACAAUAAAAAAUAUGGAGUUUCUUUGAUAAAAAAUCUUAAUUUGUCUCUCCUUCUCCUUCUUCUUCCUCUUCCUUGCUGGAAGACAUGCAUGUCUGGC